rnacentral:rRNA from 1 species
AACGAACGCUGGCGGCAUGCCUAACACAUGCAAGUCGAACGAGACCUUCGGGUCUAGUGGCGCACGGGUGCGUAACGCGUGGGAAUCUGCCCUUCGGUUGGGAAUAACUGAGAGAAAUUUCAGCUAAUACCUUAUAAUGUCUUCGGACCAAAGAUUUAUCGCCGAGGGAUAAGCCCGCGUAGGAUUAGGUAGUUGGUGGGGUAAUGGCCUACCAAGCCGACGAUCCUUAGCUGGUCUGAGAGGAUGAUCAGCCACACUGGGACUGAGACACGGCCCAGACUCCUACGGGAGGCAGCAGUGGGGAAUAUUGGAAAAUGGGCGAAAGCCUGAUCCAGCAAUGCCGCGUGAGUGAUGAAGGCCUUAGGGUUGUAAAGCUCUUUUACCCGGGAUGAUAAUGACAGUACCGAGAGAAUAAGCUCCGGCUAACUCCGUG